AACAUUCAGCCCACCCGCACCCUUCAAUGAGAACGUAUUCUGUAUGGACUAUUUUGAAUGUUUCUUUGUGAUCCUACCAGAUCCCAUCAUCUUCACUUCCUUCAGCCUAAAGUCCAUGGCUCUUCCUCUCUUGCUUUCCUCUUCUUUUUCCCAUCAUGUAGCAGCUGAAAUGGACGAUAGCAGUUGAAGCAAGGGAUGGCAGUGGAAAUUCAAGUAAUAAGCAAGAGCAGCUGGCUGCACAAUACACACAAACGGCAACCAUGUUUAGCUUUUCUUUGAAUAUCUGCUGCUGUCCAGAAUUUAUGUAUUGGCUGUGUAACCAAGUGGAGGGAAGGUAGAAACAUGCAUAAUUCGUGCAAUCUACUGCUUGAAGAGGUUGUUAAGAGAUGAAGUUAUCUCGAAAUUAUAAAAUUACAGGUUGUUAAGAGAUGAAGUUAUCUCGAAGUUAUAAAAUUAUAGGUUUGAUAUACCUUUUAUUGCAUUUAUCCAAUAGAUGUCUAUUUUUAGUAUUGGAAAAAUAUUUGUAUUGUUUUUGACAUUCUCUAUUACUGCCAGUAUUGAUGGUUUACCUUGCAAACAUCAUAUAUUCAAAAAUUAUGUUGUCUCUUACUUGUGAUUUGAGAGAUAUACUAAAUAAUUAGGGAUAAAUAGGCACGGGAGUUUUUACUAUUAUUUUGCCAAAGCAUCUACUCUUCACUAGAAUUGUUACAUGCAUGGACUGGAAGGGGGAGGGGGGUUAACCCCGUGUUUGGGUGACCCUGUCUUGAUAGCGGGAGGCAGAUUGGAGCCACCACCGUCAGACCACAUGGUUCAACACCACAUUUUUUACAAAAACAGUCCAAUAAAGAUGCAAACAAAAAUCAACAAACUUACGGAUAAAAACAAACAAACAUAUUAGAAAAUAUCACAAAUCCAACAAAAAGCCAAAACAAACUCACAAAAACGAAACAAAUAAACGAAACUAAGUAAUAAUCAUGCACAAACCCACAUGCCGUGUGGGCCAAAGGCCCAACCAGGCACCUGCCCGCUAGCCUUUGAAACAGGCGAAUUAAAGCUCGUCCACCCAUAGAAUUAGGCAGGUAGUAGACUUGCUCUCCAUCGCAUUAUUGGCCAAGGUGUUGGUUUUUAUCCUUACCGAUUUGGUCGGCUUAGCUCGUAAUUUUUGCAUAUCAUUUAUCAUCUCAUCAUCUUUUCAUGUCAUGAUCUCAUUACAUUGUCUUCAUAGCCUUCACGAUUCAUCCAUUUAUAUCCAUAUAC